rnacentral:rRNA from 1 species
GGAUGAACGCUGGCGGCGUGCCUAACACAUGCAAGUCGAGCGAGAAACCAUCGAUUGAAACUUCGGUAGAUAUUGAAGGCGGAAAGCGGCGGACGGGUGAGUAACGCGUAGGCAACCUGCCCUUUGCAGAGGGAUAGCAACGGGAAACUGUUAUUAAAACCUCAUAAUACCGACAUGUCAAAUGACAAGACGGUCAAAGAUUUAUCGGCAAAGGAUGGGCCUGCGUCUGAUUAGUUAGUUGGUAGGGUAACGGCCUACCAAGGCAGCGAUCAGUAGCCGACCUGAGAGGGUGAUCGGCCACAUUGGAACUGAGACACGGUCCAAACUCCUACGGGAGGCAGCAGUGGGGAAUAUUGCACAAUGGGCGAAAGCCUGAUGCAGCAACGCCGCGUGAAGGAUGAAGGCCUUUGGGUCGUAAACUUCUGUCCUUGGGGAAGAAAAAAAUGACGGUACCCCUGGAGGAAGUCCCGGCUAACUACGUGCCAGCAGCCGCGGUAAUACGUAGGGGGCGAGCGUUAUCCGGAAUUAUUGGGCGUAAAGAGUACGUAGGUGGUUUUUUAAGCGCAGGGUUUAAGGCGAUGGCUCAACUGUCGUUCGCCCUGUGAACUGGAAGACUUGAGUACAGGAGAGGAAAGCGGAAUUCCUAGUGUAGCGGUGAAAUGCAUAGAUAUUAGGAGGAACACCAGUGGCGAAGGCGGCUUUCUGGACUGUAACUGACACUGAGGUACGAAAGCGUGGGGAGCAAACAGGAUUAGAUACCCUGGUAGUCCACGCUGUAAACGAUGAGCACUAGGUGUCGGGGUCGCAAGAUCUCGGUGCCGGAGUUAACGCAUUAAGUGCUCCGCCUGGGGAGUACGCACGCAAGUGUGAAACUCAAAGGAAUUGACGGGGACCCGCACAAGCAGCGGAGCAUGUGGUUUAAUUCGAAGCAACGCGAAGAACCUUACCAGAACUUGACAUCCUCCUGACAGGCCUUUAAUCGGGCCCUUCUUCGGACAGGAGAGACAGGUGGUGCAUGGUUGUCGUCAGCUCGUGUCGUGAGAUGUUGGGUUAAGUCCCGCAACGAGCGCAACCCUUGUCAUUAGUUGCUAACAUUAAGUUGAGGACUCUAAUGAGACUGCCGGGGACAACUCGGAGGAAGGUGGGGAUGACGUCAAAUCAUCAUGCCCCUUAUGUUCUGGGCUACACACGUGCUACAAUGGCCGGUACAACGAGAAGCGAAGUCGCAAGGCGGAGCAAACCUCAAAAACCGGUCCCAGUUCGGAUUGCAGGCUGAAACCCGCCUGCAUGAAGCCGGAGUUGCUAGUAAUCGCGAAUCAGAAUGUCGCGGUGAAUGCGUUCCCGGGUCU